rnacentral:rRNA from 1 species
GGGAAUUCCUCAGUACGGCGAGUGAAGCGGCAAGAGCUCAAUUUGGAACCUGGCUCCCAGAUCCGCAUGUGAUUCCGUAGAUCUUUGGUGCGGCCCCCAGUCUAUUGCCCUGGAACAGGCUGUCUCAUAGGGUGAGAAUCCUCUCUUCGGGCGGGGUGUCCUGCCCGUGUAAAGCUCCUUCUUACGAGUCGUAGUUGUUUGGGAAUCAGCUCUAAAUGGGUGGUGAAUUUCAUCAAAGCUAAAUACUGGCCGGAAGACCAUACGCCCAAUAGGUGAUCAAAAUGAAAAGCACUUUAAAAAAUUAACACACGUGAAUUGUUGAAAGGAAGCACUUGCUACCACACUCCCCGCGGGUUCAACCGGCAUUCGUGCCGGUGUACUUCCCCGUGGGCGGGCACCUUCCGUUUACGCUGCCGGUCAAAGGCC